rnacentral:rRNA from 1 species
CCUACGGGUGGCUGCUGUGGGGAAUAUUGGACAAUGGGGGCAACCCUGAUCCAGCCAUGCCGCGUGUGUGAAGAAGGCCCUCGGGUUGUAAAGCACUUUCAGUGAGGAAGAACGCCUGGUGGUUAAUACCCAUCAGGAAAGACAUCACUCACAGAAGAAGCACCGGCUAACUCCGUGCCAGCAGCCGCGGUAAUACGGAGGGUGCGAGCGUUAAUCGGAAUUACUGGGCGUAAAGCGCGCGUAGGUGGCUUGAUAAGCCGGUUGUGAAAGCCCCGGGCUCAACCUGGGAACGGCAUCCGGAACUGUCAAGCUAGAGUGCAGGAGAGGAAGGUAGAAUUCCCGGUGUAGCGGUGAAAUGCGUAGAGAUCGGGAGGAAUACCAGUGGCGAAGGCGGCCUUCUGGACUGACACUGACACUGAGGUGCGAAAGCGUGGGUAGCAAACAGGAUUAGAUACCCUAGUAGUC